rnacentral:rRNA from 1 species
UCUUUUGAGAGUUUGAUCCUGGCUCAGAACGAACGCUGGCGGCGCGCCUAACACAUGCAAGUCGAACGAGAAUCCGGGGCAACUCGGUAGUAAAGUGGCAAACGGGUGAGGAAUGCAUGGGUAACCUGCCCUUGAGAAGGGAAUAACCCGCCGAAAGGUGAGCUAAUACCCUAUACGCUACUAAUUUUUCGGAAUUAGUAGGAAAGCCAGGUCGAGGACUUGGUACUCAAGGAGGGGCUCAUGUCCUAUCAGCUUGUUGGUGGGGUAAUGGCCUACCAAGGCUACGACGGGUAGCUGGUCUGAGAGGAUGAUCAGCCACACUGGCACUGAGAUACGGGCCAGACUCCUACGGGAGGCAGCAGUGAGGAAUAUUGCGCAAUGGGCGAAAGCCUGACGCAGCGACGCCGCGUGGGGGAUGAAGGUUUUCGGAUUGUAAACCCCUUUCGUGAGGAAAGAUAAAGUGGGUAACCACUUAGACGGUACCUCAAGAAGAAGCCACGGCUAACUUCGUGCCAGCAGCCGCGGUAAUACGAAGGUGGCAAGCGUUGUUCGGAUUUACUGGGCGUAAAGAGCACGUAGGCGG